rnacentral:rRNA from 1 species
CAGGAUGAACGCUGGCGGCGUGCUUAACACAUGCAAGUCGAACGGACUGCACGGACUGAAAUUUCGGAUGGAUGACCGUGUACGUUAGUGGCGGACGGGUGAGUAACGCGUGGGAAACCUGCCCUAUUCCGGGGGAUACCAGUUGGAAACGACUGUUAAUACCGCAUAAGCGCACACUGCCGCAUGGCAGAGUGUGAAAAAACUCCGGUGGAACAGGAUGGUCCCGCGUCUGAUUAGGCAGUUGGCGGGGUAACGGCCCACCAAACCGACGAUCAGUAGCCGACCUGAGAGGGUGACCGGCCACAUUGGGACUGAGACACGGCCCAAACUCCUACGGGAGGCAGCAGUGGGGAAUAUUGCACAAUGGGGGAAACCCUGAUGCAGCGACGCCGCCGUGAGUGAAGAAGCAUUUCGGUAUGUAAAGCUCUAUCAGCAGGGAAGAAGAUGACGGUACCUGCACAAGAAGCCCCGGCUAACUGCGUGCCAGCCGCUGC